GAUGAACGCUAGCGGCAGGCCUAACACAUGCAAGUCGAGGGGCAGCAUAAAAUAAACUUGUUUAUUUGGUGGCGACCGGCGCACGGGUGCGUAACGCGUAUGCAACCUACCUUAUACUGGGGAAUAGCCCGAAGAAAUUCGGAUUAAUGCCCCAUAGUACUGAGACUUCUCCUGGGGAUUCAGUUAAAGCUUUUGCGGUAUAAGAUGGGCAUGCGUCCAAUUAGCUAGAUGGUGAGGUAACGGCUCACCAUGGCGACGAUUGGUAGGGGGCCUGAGAGGGUGGUCCCCCACACUGGUACUGAGACACGGACCAGACUCCUACGGGAGGCAGCAGUGAGGAAUAUUGGUCAAUGGGCGCAAGCCUGAACCAGCCAUGCCGCGUGAAGGAUGAAGGUUCUAUGGAUUGUGAACUUCUUUUAUUUGGGAAUAAACCUCUUUACGUGUAGAGAGCUGAAGGUACCAAAUGAAUAAGCACCGGCUAACUCCGUGCCAGCCGCCGCGGUAAGAC
rnacentral:rRNA from 1 species